GAUGAACGCUGGCGGCGUGCUUAACACAUGCAAGUCGAGCGAAGCACUUAAGUUUGAUUCUUCGGAUGAAGACUUUUGUGACUGAGCGGCGGACGAGUGAGUAACGCGUGGGUAACCUGCCUCAUACAGGGGGAUAACAGUUAGAAAUGACUGCUAAUACCGCAUAAGACCACGGUACCGCAUGGUACAGUGGUAAAAACUCCGGUGGUAUGAGAUGGACCCGCGUCUGAUUAGGUAGUUGGUGGGGUAACGGCCUACCAAGCCGACGAUCGGUAGCCGACCUGAGAGGGUGACCGGCCACAUUGGGACUGAGACACGGCCCAGACUCCUACGGGAGGCAGCAGUGGGGAAUAUUGCACAAUGGAGGAAACUCUGAUGCAGCGACGCCGCGUGAAGGAUGAAGUAUUUCGGUAUGUAAACUUCUAUCAGCAGGGAAGAAAAUGA
rnacentral:rRNA from 1 species